UUCCUACGGGGGGCAGCAGUAGGGAAUUUUCGUCAAUGGGCGCAAGCCUGAACGAGCGAUGCCGCGUGAGUGAAGAAGGCCUUCGGGUCGUAAAGCUCUGUUGCGGGGGAAAAAAGGCAGCAUCAGGAAAUGGGUGCUGACUGAUGGUGCCCCGCCAGAAAGUCACGGCUAACUACGUGCCAGCAGCCGCGGUAAUACGUAGGUGGCAAGCGUUGUCCGGAUUUACUGGGUGUAAAGGGCGUGCAGCCGGGCUGACAAGUCAGAUGUGAAAUCCCGCGGCUCAACCGCGGAACUGCAUUUGAAAC
rnacentral:rRNA from 1 species